UGUGGGUGACACAGUACGGAUCCUUGACCUGGGCCACUGAACAGGUGGCUAGUGGCAUGGACAUAUGAGACAUCAUGGCUACUGGGUGUCCUCUCUAGUGUUCUAAUGGGGCUGACCACAGAAGGACGGAUCUGGGCCAGGUAAGGUCACACCACCCACCCUCUGGGGAAGAGCUCAGCUUGUCUUCAACUCCAACUGGUUCCCAGCCCACAUCAUCCCCCAAAUCCUCCAUGGAGGAUUUGAGGACUUGUUAAGACAGUCAAGGAAUAGCCACCCCGCAGAGCAACAUUUAUGGGGUUCGAAUUAAACAGGUCACUUUACAGAUUACACUUAGACUCCUCGGAGCCCCACAAACAGACUGUUAUUGUACCCAGUACAUGGAUAGGGAAACUGAGUCAGAAAGAGGUUAACUCUAAGGUCACACAGCUUGUGGACUGCUCCCCCCGCCCCCUCCCUACAACCUCUUCUCUAUAGCUGUUGAAAGGAGCUUGUGAUAAUCCACCUCUCCCUUUGAUAUAUUGAAGGGGAAACUGAGGCCAAAUGACCUGCAUAUUAGUGACCAGCGCAAAUCUCUUGAUUUUGGCUUAGUGUUUCUUUAUCUGUAGGCUGUCCUGGCCACCUUCUCCUCAGUCAGUGGCAAUGAAGUGAUCUAGAGGUCAGAGGAGGACAGAUAAGGGGGAGCCUAGACAGUGCUAGGGAUGCCAUGAAGGGGAUGGUGUCCGUGGAAGGUAGCAAACUGCCCAGAACCUUGGGCUUCGUCCUCUCUCCCCAAAACACACCUCAGAACUGCCUCCUUGCUGGGGGAGAGCAAGCAGGUUAGUGAUGGUCAUAGCUGGUGCUUUAUUAAUUAGGCGUCCUGAAUACAUUAAACCUGGGCAUUUAAUUUAGAUUUACAGGGAUAAUUUAGAUUUAUGGGACUAAUUAUCAUGCAUUAAGCAGGGAAAUGCUUGUUGGUUUCAUAGGCAACCACGUGUUUACUGAAGCACGUGAAGGAAACCAAUAGGAUGUUGAGUCACACCAUGUUCGCUCAGAGAUGAGGGACCCUGGGGUGGGGCUGGUGUCCCCAGGUGUGGGGCCUCCUGCUCACGUGAUCUUGUCUUUCUCCUGGUGGGUGUUUCAUAGAUGCAGACUCUGCCACAGGGGAGGCAAUGCCAGCUGUCUUCUGCAUCCCUGCCGCCUGGGUAUAGUCAGGUGGAGCCACAUGGGAGUUUUUAUGACAGGAGGCAGCAAUAAGCAUCCCGCUCUAACUCUGGCACUUGGGGACCUGCGGUCUUAGGUGUCACCUCUCCUCUGUGCUCUCUCUUCCACAGAACUUUGAACUGAAGAGGCUGCAAUGGGUUCUGGAUACACCUGAAAGUCUCAUAAUUGCCCCCAGCUCCAGCCUCGUCAGAUGCUCCUGUGAGUCUGUCCGACAAGCCUCUGAUUGUGCCCAAGAAUCCUGAGCAGGGUGACACAGGGCAGAAACUCCCAGACUCCAGAACAGAAGGCACUUUUCGGAGCCUCGGAUGACCGCUGGACUUGAGCAGCUGGCAGAUCUUGAAAGACCCCCAGAGCGGGGAGGCCCUCACUCAAGUCUCGGGAUGAUGUGACCCCCCCAAGAACUCACGUGAGACUGUCCUUGCUGUAAUAAGCAUGAGGUUUAUUGAUAGGAACCAGUGCACUGGGGUCGAGACUCGUAUCCCACGCAGGGGCAGUGGAGUUCGACCCCGAAAGGCUGGGAGAAAGGGUAUUUAAAGGGAGAAACCACAACCCGAGGGGACAGGGAUGGUGUCAUUGGAAAGUGUCGAGAAUACUAAUGAAAAAUCACAAGGAGGAGCUUCCUGAUCCUCAAGAUUAUUCUCUAAGAUUUUAAUCUAACUUUAUGGUCAGCUAGUACAGGUAGAGGGCAGGGUCUGGGAUUUGAGGUAUUUGGGGCUUUUUUAAACUGCUGACUUCUUAGCUGCAUUUUUUAUUCUUUCAAUCUAAGUGUCGAAGAGUUGACAGCUGGUGGGAACAGCUCCCACCCUGUGGCUUUAGAUGGCACAAAAGCGUCCCAGCCCCACAGAUGAGGUCAUUCUGAGGCCCCUAUUAUUCUGUUCUUGCAUGUCCUGGGGAUUCAUUCUGUGUCCCCUUGCUCCCAUUCCACUGCUACACCCUCCCCCAUGCUCACUCUAAGUCUCUCCCUCAAGUUCUGCUCCUUGGGGAGAGCACUCCCUCCCUCAUCUCUAGGUCUAUUCCUCCCAUGCCCUAUGCUCUCCAUGCUGCUAGAUGUCUCUCAGAUUCUUCACCUCUGGACAGCUGUCUGCUUCCGAUUCUGGUCACCAGGGGACAGCCCUUCCUCAUAGUUUUUCCCUUUCUUUGUUUCUUUCCUUCCUUCCUUCCUUCCUUCCUUCCUUCCUUCCUUCCUUCCUUCCUUCCCUUCCUUCCCUUCGUACCUUCCUUCCUUUCUUUUCUCUUCUUUCUUCUUUGGUAUGUGUAUGUUCAUGUAUGUGUAUGUUCAUGUAUGUGUCUGUGCAUGUGUGUUUGGGCACAUGCAUGGCUAUGUAGGCAUGUAGGGGCCAGAGGUUCAUAUCAGGCACCAUUCUCAAUCAUUUCUCAUCGAACAGGGACCUCAAUUCAGCUAGAAGGACUGGCCCGAUAGCCCCAGGGACCCUCCUGUCUCUACACCUCCCACCCCCGCCCCAGGCACAUGCUUCCAUGCCUAGGGUUUCACAUGGGACCCUGGGAUCGAACUCAGAUCCUCAGGCAUGUGCAGCAAGCUACCAUUCUGCCCUUGCAUAGUUUCAGCAAUAUUCCUGAGGAGGGCCAGGGAGGCUGCAGAAGUCUUCCUGGUGGUUGCAGGCAUCAGGAAGGACUUAUCUUUGUCCCUCACCUGCUUGGUCACAGGGUGCUCCCAUAUGGCCAUUGGUGUGAACACAGAGAGCAGCCACAGUGAAGGGGUUGGGGCUCUGCUGUGUGGGGCACCUGGACGCACAGCCUCCCGGUAACCUUUUGCCUUUCUUAUACACCCAGCCUCACUUCCAUCUGCUGUCAUGUGCUUGAGUUUAUGACUCACUGGGUCAGAACACGCCACAUUUGCCACAAGCAGGCAGGGUCUUGGGGUCACCUGAUAUUUCCCAGGGGAACAGUUAUCUUUAGGAGUAUGCAAAGAUUUACUCCAUUACCUUCGGUCCUUGGGCUGGGAGUCCCUUACAGGUUCCAUAGGACACCAUCUGUUAUGGGCCGUUGAUUCUUUUCUCAUGAGGCCCAGGUGGCAGCUUAGAUGUCCUGCACGGCCUGCCUUUCCUGACCCAAAUGAGCAGCAGCUUUACAAGUGAACCAGCCAGGCUAGGGUGGGGAUGGGAUAAGGAAAUGUUGCUUCCAAAACCUACUGAGCACUGCAGCUCUUAAAGGAAGUUGGAUAAGCGGUCACUGAAUAUCUCUGAAUACUGGAUUCUAGAAACUUCUGGGGUCAGCAGAACCCUCCAUGGGGUCACCCAACCAUUUGGUGCUGUGUAUUUCGGAAAAUGUCUCGGGGCUGCGGGUUCCUCUCAGCAGGUUCAGGAUGCAGUUGUCACCAUCCUGGGGACUCAGCAUGGGUUCCUUGUGAUGCUAACUCAGGUCCUUCCAGUCUAGAUUAUGUCCUAGCAGGAGAGCUGGCACAGUGAGAGGCAAGGCAGGCAUCCUGCUGUCUCUGUUUCCAGUGAAAGCCAGCUCCCACUGGGCCUUACCAGGACCACAGUUGUCCCAGUUCCUGGAAGCUGAAUGGACUUCCGCUGGGAAGAUUUGCAUCUGGAGUAGCAGGUACCUCGGGAGCUUGUAGGAGCAGGUUUGUUAGAACUCUCUCCCUGGCAUCCAGCACCUUGUUCUACACAAGACGUGUGGGCAGAUGGAACCGGAGAACAGAGCAUGGGGGAGAUAGGACACCACCUGGAAGUCUGUCACAAGAGGAUGCCAGGGAGGGAGGGGGCCUUUCCCCAGCAGAGACAGAAGACAAAGGGGUAUGGGUUUGAGGACCUGGAAAGGAAGGGGAGGUGUCAAAGGGUCUCAGAUUUACCUGAGGUCUCAGGAUUCUUUGGUUAACACCUUGCUGGCUUCAGCCAUGGGUUUGGAAAGGCUGGCGCUAGUUCAUAAGCCAACUACCCACAGGAUGAGGCCAUAUACAGUAGACUGAAGUAUCGCCUGUGUAGGAGAUCGGCUGGGGCUUGCUGGCCACUGGCCUAACUUCAGUUUCAGUGGGAAACCUGGGAAAGUAAGGGAGAGGAACAGGACAGGACACCUGGCAUCCUCUUCUAGGUCUGCUCAUGGACUCAUGUACACGAAUGAGCGAGCACCCACACACCCCCACACGCCACAUCCACAAACACACACACAGACACACACACACAGACACACACCCACAAACCACACCCACAUCACACACACACACACAUGCCACAUCCACAAACACACACACAGACACACACAUACAAACCACACAGACACACAUCAAACACAUACCAUACCCACAUCACACACACACACACACACACACACACACACACACCACACCAUACCCACAUGCCAUAUCCACAAACACACACACAGACACACACACACCACAC